rnacentral:rRNA from 1 species
UACGUAGGGUGCAAGCGUUGUCCGGAAUUAUUGGGCGUAAAGAGCUUGUAGGCGGUUUGUCGCGUCUGCUGUGAAAUUUCGGGGCUCAACCCCGAACUUGCAGUGGGUACGGGCAGACUAGAGUGUGGUAGGGGAGACUGGAAUUCCUGGUGUAGCGGUGAAAUGCGCAGAUAUCAGGAGGAACACCGAUGGCGAAGGCAGGUCUCUGGGCCAUAACUGACGCUGAGACGCGAAAGCUAGGGGAGCAAACGGG